rnacentral:rRNA from 1 species
UACAUGAGUGGUAAGCGUUAUCCGUAUUUAUUGGGCGUAAAGGAUGUGUAGAUGGUAAAAGUAGUUAUGAUUUACUAUAACAGAUCUGCUGGGUCUUUCAUAAAACCUUUUUACUAGAGUUUUUUUUAAGUAUACGGCACUUGUGAAUUAGUGAUAAAAUACUUUGAAUUUACAAGUAUCUUUUAUGGUGCAAACAGUAUACUACUUAAAACUGACAUUGAGACAUUAAAGUAUGGCCAUCCAAUAGGAUUAGACACCCUAGUAGUCCAUACUAUAAACUAUGAGUAUUAAGAUUAUUUUUAAUCCUAGUUAACACGUAAAUACUCCGCCUGGGCAGUAUAGUCGCAAGGUCGAAACUUAACAGAAUUGGCGGGAAUUUGUUUGAACGGUGGAACAUGUGGUUUAAUACGAUAAUCCGCGUAAAAUCUUACCAAGAUGGUUAAUGUUAUUAAGUAUUCUCUAAUCAGGAUUACUGUAUUGGUGUUAACACGGUACUGCAUGGCUGUCGUCAGUUCGUGCUUUGAGGCAUAGAAUUAAGUUUUAUAACGAACGAAACUCCUCUAAUUAGUAUUAAUCAAAUUAAAUUUUUUGAAAAAUAUUUAUUAUAUUAACUAAUGUGUAAAUAUUUAAUUAAUUUAAUUUUUUUUUCUAAUUUUUAGAUUUAUUUAGUUUUAGUUUUAUUUUAAAUAAAUGGGAGUAAGGAUUGAAGUCAAGUCAUUAUGGUCUGCGUAUCUUGGGCUACACACGUGUUACAAAGGUAAAGACAAAAAGUUGCUAAAAAGUAAUUUGGAGCAAAUCUUAAAAAAUUACCUUAGUUCAGAUUGUUUUCUGAAACCCGAAAACAUGAAGAUGAAAUCGUUAGUAAUCGUAGAUUAGUACGCUACGGUGAAUGAAAAGUCAAAUUUUGCACACACCGCCCAUCACGCUCUAAGAAUUAAAUUGAUUUGAAGUGCCUUUUCCCCUGGGAAGCUUGUUAGUAGUUAAAUAUUUAUACAAAUCUUAACUACGUAUAUUAAUUUAAACUAAAAACUAAUAUAAAAAAAUUUCGAUUUUUUUAUAUUUAAAGAUUUUGAUAUGAGUACGAAAGCUGGGUUAUUAGUACAAUUUAGUUAUUUGAGUGAAGUUG